UACGUAGGGAGCAAGCGUUGUUCGGAUUUACUGGGCGUAAAGGGCGCGUAGGCGGCAAAUUAAGUCAGCUGUGAAAUCUCCGAGCUUAACUCGGAACGGUCAGCUGAUACUGAUCUGCUAGAGUGCGGAAGGGGCAAUCGGAAUUCUUGGUGUAGCGGUGAAAUGCGUAGAUAUCAAGAGGAACACCUGAGGUGAAGACGGGUUGCUGGGCCGACACUGACGCUGAGUGCGCGAAAGCCAGGGGAGCAAACGGG
rnacentral:rRNA from 1 species